AAUGAAAAAAAUCCUGUGAUAGAGCCACAUGCUUUCAGAAACAGAAUUUUUUUCACCCUCAAGAAAAAGCUGCAGCAAUUAAAACCUGCAUUUUAAUUUGGGAGCAGAAAAACAACUGGGAACAAUGCUGAGGUGGUAGUUUUCAGGAAGAGCCAAGUGAUUCUUACAUUAUGAAGAUGGACAAUUUCAUAAUGGAGCAAAAACAGAAUAAAGACAAGCACUCAGGUGAUGCCUUUUA